AAACAAAGCACUAAACACAAACCGAACUAUUAUUUCACCUUUUACUAAAGAAUACCGUGUGUUCUUUACAAUAUGUGGCAUACGCCUAUUUAUGUUUGGUCCUCUAAUCAGAGGCA